GAAGCUUUCCCAGAGCCGGUGGAGGCCGGAGUAUUGGUCUGGAGUUGGGUAGGGACCUGCGGAAAGGCUAACCCCAAUGCUCCCCUAGGGAGGAGGCGAGGCGGGUUUCCCUAGUUUGUGAGGACAAGGAAGAUUGGGGGAUUCAUGUCCUUCCUUCCUCAGAUGGAAGACGUUGCUUUUUUUAAUGUCACCUCUCUGGCCCUCGACGCUAGGAAAUAAAUAAUCGGUGGGAUAGGAGGGCAGCACUCAGAGGACCCUCUAAUUCUUUCAGUUUGGGGGGCGGGGAGGCGAUGCAGAUUUCAAUUCUGUCUUUGUCACCCUCUUGGACUUUGUCGCAUUGGAAAUGUCAUUUUCCCUUUCUCCCAUUUGAACGUGUGCUAAAUUCUUGCUGUGAGAAGCGCAUCUUCGGGCAGGAACAGAUAAACCCCGCUCUAGCAGGGUUUGGGGGUGGGAGCGGAGGCUUGGUAAGUGGUGUGAAGCAGAAAGUACUGAAUAUUGUGCGGGCAGAGACCUGGAGGCCUUGGGGUCGGACAGGCUUUUGGCGGACAGACGUCCCAGACGUGACUUUGUGCUUAUGAGCUGACAGUGAGGUCUGAGCAGGGGUCGACGGGAUGUGGGGAAGAAUGUUCCAGGCAGUGGGAACAGCCGGGAAGGAAGGCCGGCAUCCAGAGGUAUGCUGGUGUUUGGAGGAACGGAAACAAGUUCAGUGAGAGCGCCAGAGUGCUGGGUCGAAGAGUAACAGCUGACCCGGAGCCGGUGAUGUCCUUAUUCUGAAGCAGAGAGAAAUCAGUCUCCUGAGCUGAAGUCAUGUGCCCAAGGUCCUGUAAUGGCAGCCUGGAUCCCAGGUUUAAUUUUGCUGAAGAAACUGAAGACUGAAGUCACAUGCAAGUUAUAAGCAAAGCCAGGACCAGAAUCCAGACUCCUUACUCCUACUCCAGCUCUCUUACCAUCAAGUCAAUUUAAGAAUUAAAAAAAAAUUUUUUCCCCCGAAACAUCUUCCUGCACUGGGUUGUCCCCAAAGGCUUUGGAGACCCCUGUUAGACUGCAGCCACCACCUGGGAGGCAUGACACAGUGACCCCUGAACUCAGAUGUU